GUGCAUGGAUCAUCUUCCUUCCAGACAGAUGAGUCUCAAGUUUGUAGUAUGGAGACACUGGGGUGAGAGUGCAAGUGGUUGUUAAAGAAUAACUUAUACUGAGCAUGACCAAUACGAGAAACCACUUGGAUAUUUAUUCACUCAUCAGUGAUUUUCUCGAUGCUGCAGUAGUGUGAGUGAUCUUUUGACUUGUAGUGUAUUGGCUAUUUGCAGUGAGGCUACUGAGUUUGAUUACACCUAAACUUGGACUUUUAGCUAUUUGAGU
rnacentral:lncRNA from 1 species